GGAAGUAAAAGUCGUAGCAAGGUUUCCGUAGGUGAACCUGCGGAAGGAUCAUUACAGAGUUCAUGCCCUCACGGGUAGAUCUCCCACCCUUGAAUAUUUAUACCUUAGUUGCUUUGGCAGGCCGUGGAAACACCAUGGGCUCCGGCUUAUGCGUGCCUGCCAGAGGAAACAAACUCUGUUUUUAGUGAUGUCUGAGUACUAUAUAAUAGUUAAAACUUUCAACAACGGAUCUCUUGGUUCUG
rnacentral:misc_RNA from 1 species